UGGGAAGAAGUUUAAUUUGGGGGAAACUGCCGCGAGGUUAUAACUUUAACAAAGGUAUACUUUACUUAAUAAUAUUUAUUGUUAUUUAUAAUUAUUAUAUUAUUAGAAUAAAUUAAAUAUUUAAUCAUACUUAAUUUAAAAGUAGUUUGUACGCUAAUAUUUUAAUACAAUUGUUUUAUAUUGUAAUUAGUCAUUUAUAAUAAAACACCUUUGUUAAGCUAAUUAGUUUCAGUUAACUCAGUUAAGUAACAUCU
rnacentral:rRNA from 1 species